GUUUUUCCCACAGUGACUCCUGAGUAUUUAUUGGCUCAUUUUUCUGCUUUUCUCAGUCUAGGUACACCUCAGAGUCAUUUUGGCUCACAUCUGGGCCACUGAAGCUGUAGCCGACCUGCAGCUACAAGAUCUUCUUGCGUGGGUGACCACCUGAAAGAGAAGAAAUAUAACAAAUAUCAUAAUCAAGAGAGUCACACAAGUGUUUGGCUGUCCCAGUACAUAAAAAGGACCUUUAACAGACCUGCACUCUUCUCAAAGGAAGAUUCCAAAUGGAGAAAGAACAGCAAAUGAAACACCUUUGUUUAGAGGAAAAUGAUUAAUAUACUUGCUUUAAAAUCAAGGAAGAGAAAGAAGUUAAUCCCUUCUGAGACACAU
rnacentral:lncRNA from 1 species